rnacentral:rRNA from 1 species
AUGAGCGACACGCUCCCGUGCAACGCACGCUCCCCGUGCGACGCAUGCAUCUCGUGGGAUCUGCGAGUCCGUUGUGACUACGUACCCAACCUUGGCUCGGCGCUGCUGAUCUUCCGGCCGGGUGCGAUUCGCCGGCGGGGGCGGAGGCUAGAGCUCGUCGACGGCGAAGAGGUGGUGGUGGAUGCUCGAAGUUGGCCGGAGGAUGAGGAGAUCAGGUUGGGCCGGAUGGUGGUGUUCCCCUGCCACCUGGCGCGUUUUGCGACGGCUGACGGGUGGGGCGCGUUGGUGGCGGUUCCCGAGGUGAUUAAUGGCGACGAGGGGGAGGGGAGAGGGGUUAUCUGGCCGACGCAUCGGCUUUUCUCCAUUUCCUCCACCGCUCCCCCUCUCGUAGAUCCGAUCCAAAAUCACCUCUGCGCCGCGCAGCCCACGCAGUUAGGGUCCGAUGACGACGCGCCAGCAGCAGAUGUGGGCGCUGGCGACCGGCGACGAGGUGCUGAUGUGGAGGCUUCAAGAGAUCGACCGAUGGUUCCCGACGGCGAAGGCCCUCAACAACGCUUCCGAGAUGGUGAGGGAUAUGCUCAGGAGGGAAGAGACCCUCCGCUGCUUCCCCAACUACGACCAAUAGCCGGCGAUGGGGGUGCUCCUCUGGGCGAUGCUGGAGGCGGAAUCGCUAGAUCCGGCGCAGCGGGAGAAGUGGAAAGUGUUCUGCUCCCUCGGCUACCGUCUGAUUCAGCCGAGAGGGCCGCCGCCGGUGCAGGCGCAAGGGGUGCCGCAGCCGCAGCCGCAGGAGGGGCGGCAGGCGCCUCCGCAGGCGAUGAUGGUGGGGAUCCCAGCGACGGGGUCCAGAUGGGUUCCAAUCGAGAUCGAGGAGGACGAGAAGGAAGAGAAGGUGGUGAUGGCAACGCCAAGACGCAGGAGGACGCCGGUGACUCCAACUCUCCCUCGCCGCUCCCCUCGCUUCCCGAGGCGCUCGUCUCGCCUCCUUGCCCUCUCCCGCCGCCAGUAGGGUUCUCGCCGGCCAGGAAUCGUUUCUGGUUGCUCGCCGGUGAGGGCUCCGAGGCGGAGGAGGAGGGGAUUCCCAAUUUCUUCAACAAAGGUAUGAGUCCGAAUCCUAGAUACUUAGCAUCUACUGCUUCAAUUGAGGUGGGUGGUGCCAAAAUGGGAAGAAUCAAAGGAAACGCUAGAUUCCGAAAUAAAAAUAAUGAGAGAAAUGGGUUAAAAUCCCAGAAUGCAGAUGACUGCAAAGAAUUGUUGGAGAGGAGUGGGGAUGGGUUGCAUAAGAUCAACAUAGAAGGGAUUGAAGGGGGAUUUGCUGAUAAUAAUGGUAGAAAUGGUAGAAUUGAUGCACAAUCAGUAUGUGAACAUAUGAAAAAGGAUGCUAUACAUCCUAUUCCACAGUGGUUUGAUUCUGUUGGGGUUGAUUUUGGGGACAUAGUGAUUCGUGGGAAUCCAAUCGAAGCCCCCGGCAUCCCAAUGAGAAAUGCAAAAAGGAGAGUUGAGGAGGAUAACAUGGGGAGACCCCUAAUUAUUUUUGGGGGCUCGAUAGGGAAAUAUUUGAAUGUGGACCUGGAGUUGGGCUUGAUGGGGUGGGGGCUCAAUGGGCUGACGGACACCAUGGCCCAGGAAAGUGAGGGUGGGGUGGCAGCUAUAAAAAGGGGUGAGGGUGAUGGGGUUAACCAACCUCAUCAGGUAGGUUUUCCCUCCCUUCCCACCACGCCGCCGCCAGCUAAAGAGAUGGCCGGAAACCUAGGCAGAGGGUUUGGAGGGCCCAGAUUCAACCUUGGAGGAGAGGGAGUGACGGUGUCCUGGACUAGGGGGUACUCACCACGUCCUCUCCCGAUCAGUUGGAUUGGGUCGAGGACCCCCAUGGCCGUAUACUCAUGGGCCAGUCCGGACAGCUGCCGCAUACAAGGAAGAAUCAACAAGACUUGGCGAUCAAGACAAGGACUCCUCCCCCACCGGCGUAUUCGGCUAGGACUCUUGUUAUCCUAG